GUACUAAUCCCCCCAGGGGAACCUGGCCCUUAAUUCGAUGAUCCACGAAACUCUUACCUUCUCUUGUGUUGUCUAGGCUCGUUCGUUUUGUCAACGGGCCUAGAUGGCGAGCAGUUUGCAUACCGCCGUUGUGCAGCCUAUAUCGCAAGAGGAAAGAAAUAGGCGACGCAGUAGGCUUGUCCUACUACUAAUUCAGGUAAACGUGUAGCCUAUGGGAAGGGGCUGCUGGGUUACAAUUUUGGUUUUUACUGGAGCUACUCACUGAGUGAGACGCGAAAGAGGACUUGGAAGUAAUGACUUUAUACAAAGAAGUCAUGAAUGGAGCUCUAGUAUGUGU
rnacentral:rRNA from 1 species